CGACCGGCGCACGGGUGAGUAACGCGUAUCCAACCUGCCCACCACUUGGGGAUAACCUUGCGAAAGUAAGACUAAUACCCAAUGAUAUCUCUAGAAGACAUCUGAAAGAGAUUAAAGAUUUAUCGGUGAUGGAUGGGGAUGCGUCUGAUUAGCUUGUUGGCGGGGUAACGGCCCACCAAGGCAACGAUCAGUAGGGGUUCUGAGAGGAGGGCCCCCCACAUUGGAACUGAGACACGGUCCAA
rnacentral:rRNA from 1 species